rnacentral:rRNA from 1 species
ACGGGCAGGCUAGAGUGCAGUAGGGGAGACUGGAAUUCCUGGUGUAGCGGUGAAAUGCGCAGAUAUCAGGAGGAACACCGAUGGCGAAGGCAGGUCUCUGGGCUGUAACUGACGCUGAGGAGCGAAAGCAUGGGUAGCGAACAGGAUUAGAUACCCUGGUAGUCCAUGCCGUAAACGUUGGGCACUAGGUGUGGGGGACAUUCCACGUUUUCCGCGCCGUAGCUAACGCAUUAAGUGCCCCGCCUGGGGAGUACGGCCGCAAGGCUAAAACUCAAAGGAAUUGACGGGGGCCCGCACAAGCGGCGGAGCAUGCGGAUUAAUUCGAUGCAACGCGAAGAACCUUACCAAGGCUUGACAUGGACUAGAUCGCCGCAGAGAUGCGGUUUCCCUUCGGGGCUGGUUCACAGGUGGUGCAUGGUUGUCGUCAGCUCGUGUCGUGAGAUGUUGGGUUAAGUCCCGCAACGAGCGCAACCCUCGUUCUAUGUUGCCAGCACGUUAUGGUGGGGACUCAUAGGAGACUGCCGGGGUCAACUCGGAGGAAGGUGGGGACGACGUCAAAUCAUCAUGCCCCUUAUGUCUUGGGCUUCACGCAUGCUACAAUGGCCGGUACAAAGGGUUGCGAUACUGUGAGGUGGAGCUAAUCCCAAAAAGCCGGUCUCAGUUCGGAUUGGGGUCUGCAACUCGACCCCAUGAAGUCGGAGUCGCUAGUAAUCGCAGAUCAGCAACGCUGCGGUGAAUACGUUCCCGGGCCUUGUACACACCGCCCGUCAAGUCACGAAAGUUGGUAACACCCGAAGCCG